UACGUAGGGUGCAGGCGUUAAUCGGAAUUACUGGGCGUAAAGCGUGCGCAGGCGGUUUUGUAAGCCAGGUGUGAAAUCCCCGGGCUUAACCUGGGAAUGGCAUUUGGGACUGCAAGGCUGGAGUGUGGCAGAGGAGACUGGAAUUCCCGGUGUAGCAGUGAAAUGCGUAGAUAUCGGGAGGAAUACCGAUGGCGAAGGCAGCCUCCUGGGCCAACACUGACGCUCAUGCACGAAAGCGUGGGGAGCAAACAGG
rnacentral:rRNA from 1 species